UAUUAUCAACCAUGCCUUGAUCGAUUUCAAGUGCAUGGCUUGGAUAUGGGGGCUGCUGGCUGUGAAAGCGGUCAGCUCUCCUUAAAUGCAUUAGCAAGGGGGUGUGCCAUGGUCUUUUGGAUGUGCACGGCCUUCAACGUGAUAAUGAUCGUUGUGGCUGGAGCGUCUGUCUUGGAGCAUGGAUGAACAGCCUGUUUUGCUUCUAAUCCAGACUCUCUUGUCUUGUCUUGCCAGCCAGAGGCACUGCUAGCUAUUAGUCCCACCAGCUUACUAGUUAGUCUAUUAAGACCAUGCGCUUGCAUGGGAUGAACGACAAGCCAGCAAAAAGGGGGGUGAACGCAGCAAGGCAGAUGGCAAUAAAGCUAGACUCGAGAUCAUAUUCAUUGA
rnacentral:misc_RNA from 1 species